GGGUUGUGAGGUUAAGCGACUAAGCGUACACGGUGGAUGCCCUGGCAGUCAGAGGCGAUGAAGGACGUGCUAAUCUGCGAUAAGCGUCGGUAAGGUGAUAUGAACCGUUAUAACCGGCGAUUUCCGAAUGGGGAAACCCAGUGUGAUUCGUCACACUAUCAUUAACUGAAUCCAUAGGUUAAUGAGGCGAACCGGGGGAACUGAAACAUCUAAGUACCCCGAGGAAAAGAAAUCAACCGAGAUUCCCCCAGUAGCGGCGAGCGAACGGGGAGGAGCCCAGAGCCUGAAUCAGUGUGUGUGUUAGUGGAAGCGUCUGGAAAGGCGUGCGAUACAGGGUGACAGCCCCGUACACAAAAAUGCACAUGCUGUGAGCUCGAUGAGUAGGGCGGGACACGUGGUAUCCUGUCUGAAUAUGGGGGGACCAUCCUCCAAGGCUAAAUACUCCUGACUGACCGAUAGUGAACCAGUACCGUGAGGGAAAGGCGAAAAGAACCCCGGCGAGGGGAGUGAAAAAGAACCUGAAACCGUGUACGUACAAGCAGUGGGAGCCUCUUUAAUGGGGUGACUGCGUACCUUUUGUAUAAUGGGUCAGCGACUUAUAUUCUGUAGCAAGGUUAACCGAAUAGGGGAGCCGAAGGGAAACCGAGUCUUAACUGGGCGUUAAGUUGCAGGGUAUAGACCCGAAACCCGGUGAUCUAGCCAUGGGCAGGUUGAAGGUUGGGUAACACUAACUGGAGGACCGAACCGACUAAUGUUGAAAAAUUAGCGGAUGACUUGUGGCUGGGGGUGAAAGGCCAAUCAAACCGGGAGAUAGCUGGUUCUCCCCGAAAGCUAUUUAGGUAGCGCCUCGUGAAUUCAUCUCCGGGGGUAGAGCACUGUUUCGGCAAGGGGGUCAUCCCGACUUACCAACCCGAUGCAAACUGCGAAUACCGGAGAAUGUUAUCACGGGAGACACACGGCGGGUGCUAACGUCCGUCGUGAAGAGGGAAACAACCCAGACCGCCAGCUAAGGUCCCAAAGUCAUGGUUAAGUGGGAAACGAUGUGGGAAGGCCCAGACAGCCAGGAUGUUGGCUUAGAAGCAGCCAUCAUUUAAAGAAAGCGUAAUAGCUCACUGGUCGAGUCGGCCUGCGCGGAAGAUGUAACGGGGCUAAACCAUGCACCGAAGCUGCGGCAGCGACACUGUGUGUUGUUGGGUAGGGGAGCGUUCUGUAAGCCGUUGAAGGUGGCCUGUGAGGGUUGCUGGAGGUAUCAGAAGUGCGAAUGCUGACAUAAGUAACGAUAAAGCGGGUGAAAAGCCCGCUCGCCGGAAGACCAAGGGUUCCUGUCCAACGUUAAUCGGGGCAGGGUGAGUCGACCCCUAAGGCGAGGCCGAAAGGCGUAGUCGAUGGGAAACAGGUUAAUAUUCCUGUACUUGGUGUUACUGCGAAGGGGGGACGGAGAAGGCUAUGUUGGCCGGGCGACGGUUGUCCCGGUUUAAGCGUGUAGGCUGAUUUUCCAGGCAAAUCCGGAGAAUCAAGGCUGAGGCGUGAUGACGAGGCACUACGGUGCUGAAGCAACAAAUGCCCUGCUUCCAGGAAAAGCCUCUAAGCAUCAGGUAACAUCAAAUCGUACCCCAAACCGACACAGGUGGUCAGGUAGAGAAUACCAAGGCGCUUGAGAGAACUCGGGUGAAGGAACUAGGCAAAAUGGUGCCGUAACUUCGGGAGAAGGCACGCUGAUAUGUAGGUGAAGCGACUUGCUCGUGGAGCUGAAAUCAGUCGAAGAUACCAGCUGGCUGCAACUGUUUAUUAAAAACACAGCACUGUGCAAACACGAAAGUGGACGUAUACGGUGUGACGCCUGCCCGGUGCCGGAAGGUUAAUUGAUGGGGUCAGCCGCAAGGCGAAGCUCUUGAUCGAAGCCCCGGUAAACGGCGGCCGUAACUAUAACGGUCCUAAGGUAGCGAAAUUCCUUGUCGGGUAAGUUCCGACCUGCACGAAUGGCGUAAUGAUGGCCAGGCUGUCUCCACCCGAGACUCAGUGAAAUUGAACUCGCUGUGAAGAUGCAGUGUACCCGCGGCAAGACGGAAAGACCCCGUGAACCUUUACUAUAGCUUGACACUGAACAUUGAGCCUUGAUGUGUAGGAUAGGUGGGAGGCUUUGAAGUGUGGACGCCAGUCUGCAUGGAGCCGACCUUGAAAUACCACCCUUUAAUGUUUGAUGUUCUAACGUGGACCCGUGAUCCGGGUUGCGGACAGUGUCUGGUGGGUAGUUUGACUGGGGCGGUCUCCUCCUAAAGAGUAACGGAGGAGCACGAAGGUUGGCUAAUCCUGGUCGGACAUCAGGAGGUUAGUGCAAUGGCAUAAGCCAGCUUGACUGCGAGCGUGACGGCGCGAGCAGGUGCGAAAGCAGGUCAUAGUGAUCCGGUGGUUCUGAAUGGAAGGGCCAUCGCUCAACGGAUAAAAGGUACUCCGGGGAUAACAGGCUGAUACCGCCCAAGAGUUCAUAUCGACGGCGGUGUUUGGCACCUCGAUGUCGGCUCAUCACAUCCUGGGGCUGAAGUAGGUCCCAAGGGUAUGGCUGUUCGCCAUUUAAAGUGGUACGCGAGCUGGGUUUAGAACGUCGUGAGACAGUUCGGUCCCUAUCUGCCGUGGGCGCUGGAGAACUGAGGGGGGCUGCUCCUAGUACGAGAGGACCGGAGUGGACGCAUCACUGGUGUUCGGGUUGUCAUGCCAAUGGCACUGCCCGGUAGCUAAAUGCGGAAGAGAUAAGUGCUGAAAGCAUCUAAGCACGAAACUUGCCCCGAGAUGAGUUCUCCCUGAGACUUUAAGUCUCCUGAAGGAACGUUGAAGACGACGACGUUGAUAGGCCGGGUGUGUAAGCGCAGCGAUGCGUUGAGCUAACCGGUACUAAUGAACCGUGAGGCUUAACCUUACAACGCCGAAG
rnacentral:rRNA from 1 species